AACGCACAUUGCGCCCGCCGGUAUUCCGGCGGGCAUGCCCGUUCGAGCGUCAUCUCUAACCUCAAGCUAGCCUUGGUGUUGGGGCCCCACGGCCGCCGUGGGCCCUGAAAAUCAGUGGCGGGCUCGCCGUGAUCCCGAGCGCAGUAGUUAAAUCUCGCUGGGGCUGAUCGGGCGUGCGCCAGCCGUCAAAACCCGCCGCGGGGGCUCGCUCCCGCGUGCACCACACCUUAGUUUGACCUCGGAUCGGGUAGGAAUACCCGCUGAACUUAA
rnacentral:misc_RNA from 1 species